rnacentral:rRNA from 1 species
UAGCUGGCCUUUCGGGGCAUGUGCACGCUUCGCUCAAAUCCAACUCAUUUUCAACACCUGUGCACAUAUUGUAGGAUGGUUGAUACAAACGAAGAACUUAGGUUCCUCUCGAGUUGUUGACGCCUUCCUAUGUUUCAUUUACACACUCAUUGUCGUAUCAUGAAUGUUUUUUGCGCUUAAAUAACGCAUUAUAUAUAACUUUUAGCAACGGAUCUCUUGGCUCUCGCAUCGAUGAAGAACGCAGCGAAAUGCGAUAAGUAAUGUGAAUUGCAGAAUUCAGUGAAUCAUCGAAUCUUUGAACGCAACUUGCGCCCUUUGGUAUUCCGAAGGGCAUGCCCGUUUGAGUGUCAUGGUAUUCUCAAAGCCCUCUUCAUUUUUUUUGAGGAGGUGGGGGUUUGGAAUUGGAAGGCCUUUUUGGCAGGUUAAGAAAUAAACCGGCCCCUCUGGAAGGAAUAACUGGAAAACCUUGGUUCAGGCCUAGUUCCAGGGGGAUAAUGGCCUACCCGGAACUGGCCUAACCACAGGAAGGGAAUUCCGUUUCUAGUGGCCUUUUAAAGACAGAUUGUAAUGAUCUUUUGACAUCUGACCUCAAAUCGGGUAGGACUACCCGCUGAACUUAAGCAUA